GAUGUGUUUUUGUGGUAGGUCCAGUACAGUACUGACCUCCGUGCUGGCAGAGAAAGGUGUAGUUGAUGUUUAGGAUGUGUUUUUGUGGUAGGUCCAGUACAGUACUGACCUCCGUGCUGGCAGAGAAAGGUGUAGUUGAUGUUUAGGAUGUGUUUUUGUGGUAGGUCCAGUACAGUACUGACCUCCGUGCUGGCAGAGAAAGGUGUGGUUGAUGUUUAGGAUGUGUUUUUGUGGUAGGUCCAGUACAGUACUGACCUCCGUGCUGGCAGAGAAAGGUGUAGUUGAUGUUUAGGAUGUGUUUUUGUGGUAGGUCCAGUACAGUACUGACCUCCGUGCUGGCAGAGAAAGGUGUGGUUGAUGUUUAGGAUGUGUUUUUGUGGUAGGUCCAGUACAGUACUGACCUCCGUGCUGGCAGAGAAAGGUGUGGUUGAUGUUUAGGAUGUGUUUUUGUGGUAGGUCCAGUACAGUACUGACCUCCGUGCUGGCAGAGAAAGGUGUAGUUGAUGUUUAGGAUGUGUUUUUGUGGUAGGUCCAGUACAGUACUGACCUCCGUGCUGGCAGAGAAAGGUGUAGUUGAUGUUUAGGAUGUGUUUUUGUGGUAGGUCCAGUACAGUACUGACCUCCGUGCUGGCAGAGAAAGGUGUAGUUGAUGUUUAGGAUGUGUUUUUGUGGUAGGUCCAGUACA